AGUGAACGCUGGCGGUAGGCCUAACACAUGCAAGUCGAACGGCAGCACAGUAAGAGCUUGCUCUUACGGGUGGCGAGUGGCGGACGGGUGAGGAAUACAUCGGAAUCUACUUUUUCGUGGGGGAUAACGUAGGGAAACUUACGCUAAUACCGCAUACGACCUACGGGUGAAAGCAGGGGAUCUUCGGACCUUGCGCGAUUGAAUGAGCCGAUGUCGGAUUAGCUAGUUGGCGGGGUAAAGGCCCACCAAGGCGACGAUCCGUAGCUGGUCUGAGAGGAUGAUCAGCAACACUGGAACUGAGACACGGUCCAGACUCCUGCGGGAGGCAGCAGUGGGGAAUAUUGGACAAUGGGCGCAAGCCUGAUCCAGCCAUACCGCGUGGGUGAAGAAGGCCUUCGGGUUGUAAAGCCCUUUUGUUGGGAAAGAAAAGCAGCAGGUUAAUACCCCGCUGUUCUGACGGUACCCAAAGAAUAAGCACCGGCUAACUUCGUG
rnacentral:rRNA from 1 species